GACGAACGCUGGCGGCGUGCUUAACACAUGCAAGUCGAACGCUGAAGCCCUUCGGGGUGGAUGAGUGGCGAACGGGUGAGUAACACGUGGGUAAUCUGCCCUGCACUCUGGGAUAAGCCUUGGAAACGGGGUCUAAUACCGGAUAGGACACAUCGCCGCAUGGUGUGUGUGUGGAAAGUUCCGGCGGUGCAGGUUGAGCCCGCGGCCUAUCCGCUUGUUGGGGGGGUGAUGGCCUACCAAGGCGACGACGGGUAGCCGGCCUGAGAGGGUGCCCGGCCACACUGGGACUGGGACACGGCCCAGACUCCUACGGGAGGCAGCAGUGGGGGAUCUUGCGAAAUGGGCGAAAGCCUGACGCAGCAACGCCGCGUGGGGGAUGACGGCCUUCGGGUUGUAAACCUCUUUCGACCGGGACGAAGGAUUCGUUUGACGGUACCGGUAGAAGAAGCACCGGCUAACUACGUGCCAGCCGCCGCCGUAACAC
rnacentral:rRNA from 1 species